rnacentral:rRNA from 1 species
AGAGUUUGAUCAUGGCUCAGGAUUAACGCUAGCGGCAGGCCUAAUACAUGCAAGUCGAACGGGAUUUCGGUUAGCAAUAAUUGAAUGAGAGUGGCGCACGGGUGCGUAACACGUAUGCAACCUACCUAUAACUGGGGGGAUAGCCUCCCGAAAGGGAGAUUAACACCGCAUAACAUUAUGAAGUGGCAUCACUUUAUAAUUAAAUCUACGGAGGUUAUAGAUGGGCAUGCGUCCGAUUAGCUAGUUGGUGAGGUAAUGGCUCACCAAGGCUCCGAUCGGUAGGGGGUCUGAGAGGAUGAUCCCCCACACUGGUACUGAGACACGGACCAGACUCCUACGGGAGGCAGCAGUAAGGAAUAUUGGACAAUGGGCGCAAGCCUGAUCCAGCCAUGCCGCGUGAAGGAUGAAGGCCCUAUGGGUCGUAAACUUCUUUUAUACGGGAAAAAACCCCUCGAUGCGUUGAGGGUUGAUGGUACUGUAAGAAUAAGGGUCGGCUAACUUCGUGCCAGCAGCCGCGGUAAUACGAAGGACCCGAGCGUUAUCCGGAUUUAUUGGGUUUAAAGGGUGCGUAGGCGGAUUAGUAAGUCAGUGGUGAAAGCCCAUCGCUUAACGGUGGAAUUGCCAUUGAUACUGCUAGUCUUGAGUAUGGUUGAGGUGGGCGGAAUGUGUCUGUAGCGGUGAAAUGCUUAGAUAUGACCCAGAACACCAAUUGCGAAGGCAGCUCGCUAAGCCAUAACUGACGCUGAUGCACGAAAGCGUGGGGAGCAAACAGGAUUAGAUACCCUAGUAGUCC